GACGAACGCUGGCGGCGUGCUUAACACAUGCAAGUCGAACGGAAAGGCCCUGCUUUUGUGGGGUGCUCGAGUGUCGAACGGGUGAGUAACACGUGAGUAACCUGCCCUUGACUUUGGGAUAACUUCAGGAAACUGGGGCUAAUACCGGAUAGGAGCUCCUGCUGCAUGGUGGGGGUUGGAAAGUUUCGGCGGUUGGGGAUGGACUCGCGGCUUAUCAGCUUGUUGGUGGGGUAGUGGCUUACCAAGGCUUUGACGGGUAGCCGGCCUGAGAGGGUGACCGGCCACAUUGGGACUGAGAUACGGCCCAGACUCAUACGGGAGGCAGCAGUGGGGAAUAUUGCACAAUGGGCGGAAGCCUGAUGCAGCAACGCCGCGUGCGGGAUGACGGCCUUCGGGUUGUAAACCGCUUUCGCCUGUGACGAAGCGUGAGUGACGGUAAUGGGUAAAGAAGCACCGGCUAACUACGUG
rnacentral:rRNA from 1 species